AUUUGUGUGUUGGUGUUGACAUACGUGUUAGGGAAUUUUGGUGAUUCUUGUAUGGUGGUCGUUUAAGAAACUUUGCAGAAUUGAAAUCUAAACUCAGGAGGAGUUUAGUUCAGGGUUAGGUUAUCAUGAUUUAAUAUAGGCUCAAGGGAGUUUUGUUAGGGUAGAGAUUUAUUCUUAAGAUUUUAUGUUAAUAGAACGAAGCGGUAAAUCAAAAGGAUUGUUCUUGGUUUACACGUUUGCCAAUAGGUUGUAUUUGCUUUCUUGUUCUAGUGAAAUCAAAAUCUAGACGUGGUCCCGAAAAGUAGGAAAAAA
rnacentral:sRNA from 1 species